rnacentral:tRNA from 1 species
GAAGGUAUAGCUCUAGUGGUAGAGUGCAUGCCUAGCAUGCAAGACGUCCUGGGUUCAAUCCCUAGUAUCUCCA